UUCAUACAUUCCUCUGGUAUUAUAGUGUCCUUUUUCUUUUCUUUUUUUUUCUUUUUCCGCUAAUGCGCUAAUGCGCCACAGUCAAAAUCGAGCUGAGACAACGAGAGAAAAGGAGACGAGAGAAACGCUAGCCGAGAAAAGUAUCGGCCUAGCGGACAGCUAGCUUAGAGAAUGUCUCGCGAGUCGAGUUCUCAGAAUCUUUCGGCCGUGAACGGCUGUAUUCGCGAGAGAGCGAGAGAGAGAGAGAGAGAGAAAGAGAGAGAGAGAGAUGGGGAGGGAAAAAGACGGCGGAAGAGAAGAAAAGAGAAACGGUGUACGGCCGUGUAACGACGCGAUCGAAAUCAAUGCGAAAGGAAUGCUCGUCUUCCGUUGAUAACGGAAGGCGGUUCUUGUCGCGAAGAAGGUUCCGAGUUACGGAAGAGAACACUCUGAACUC